rnacentral:lncRNA from 1 species
AUGUGGAGUAGCCCAUUGUCACUGCCCUGCCAGAGGAGAGCGGUGGGGCCAGAGUCACGCAAAUCAAAGCGGCGCAUCAUGGAGACACAGCCUUGUCCGCCCCCGGUCCCAGCCACCCCAAUAGAUCUGGUGCCAUGUUGCCAUGGCUACGUAGGUGGAACUAACCUCUACAACUCCAGGAAGGAGGAGGAGCUGAAUUUGGGCUCUCCACCUAAGAGGAUGUUUGCCCUGUAUCACCCCACCUAUAACGGAGCCCCAGCCAUCUCUAGAACCCUGCAUCACUAUAGUGCGGAAGACCCUUGUCGAGUGCCGCCCCCCUGCCUCCCCUUCUCCCUGUCAUCCUCCCACCAUCACCACCACAACAACCAGCACCACCACCAGCACCAGCCUGGACAAAAGUUGGAUCCGUG